GUGCAGCAGGCGAGAAUUUUUCACAAUGGGGGCAACCCUGAUGGAGCGACGCCGCGUGGAAGAUGAAGGCUUUCGGGUUGUAAACUCCUGUCAUUUGAGAACAAGUGUAGCCAACUAACUAUUGGCUACUUGAUAGUAUCAGAAGAGGAAGGGACGGCUAACUCUGUGCCAGCAGCCGCGGUAAUACAGAGGUCCCAAGCGUUGUUCGGAUUCAUUGGGCGUAAAGGGUGCGUAGGUGGCGCCGUAAGUGGGGUGUGAAAUUUCGGAGCUUAACUCCGAAACUGCAUUCCAUACUGCGGUGCUUGAGGACUGGAGAGGAGACUGGAAUUCAUGGUGUAGCAGUGAAAUGCGUAGAGAUCAUGAGGAAGACCAGUGGCGAAGGCGGGUCUCUGGACAGUUCCUGACACUGAGGCACGAAGGCUAGGGGAGCGAACGGGAUUAGAUACCCCUGUAGU
rnacentral:rRNA from 1 species